rnacentral:rRNA from 1 species
GUUGACCUCGGAUCAGGUAGGAAUACCCGCUGAACUUAAGCAUAUCAAUAGCCGGGAGGAAGCAUAUCAAUAAGCGGAGGA